rnacentral:rRNA from 1 species
UACGAAGGGGGCUAGCGUUGCUCGGAAUCACUGGGCGUAAAGGGUGCGUAGGCGGGUCUUUAAGUCAGGGGGGAAAUCCUGGAGCUCAACUCCAGAACUGCCUUUGAUACUGAAGAUCUUGAGUUCGGGAGAGGUGAGUGGAGCUGCGAGUGUAGAGGUGAAAUUCGUAGAUAUUCGCAAGAACACCAGUGGCGAAGGCGGCUCACUGGCCCGAUACUGACGCUGAUGCACGAAAGCGUGGGGAGCAAACAGG